CAAGUAAAUGUAAAUGUAUAGCAAAUGUUGAAAAUAUAGAUAUGAUCAAAUCCCAUGAGAUUUUUCAAGCGAUUAAAAACUUAUCAGUUAAUAAAACAACAGGUAUGGAUUCUGUCUCUGCUGAACAUCUCAAAUUUGCAAGCUCAAGGUUAUGUAGACUUCUUGCCUUAUGCUUCACUGCUCUCAUAGUCCAUGGCUUUCUUCCAGACUCUGUGAUGACAGUGCUGCUGGUUCCUGUGGUUAAGGAUAAAGCAGGAAAAGUGGGUUCCUCAGAUAACUAUAGACCCAUCGCUCUAGCUAAUAUAUUGUCAAAAGUUGUUGAACAAAUUCUCCUAGAGAAGAUCAAUGAACUAAUUAUUUCCACAGAUAAUCAAUUUGGUUUUAAACCGAGACACGGU